GAUGAAGAACGUAGCGAAAUGCGAUACGUAAUGUGAAUUGCAGAAUUCAGUGAAUCAUCGAAUCUUUGAACGCAUAUUGCGCUCUCUGGUAUUCCGAAGAGCAUGCUUGUUUGAGUAUCAGUAAACACCUCAACCUCUUCUUGAUUUUUCAAAAGGAGGGUGGACUUGAGCUAUCCCAACAACCUUUACCGGUCGGCGGGCGGCUUGAAAUGCAGGUGCAGCUGGACUUUUAUCUGAGCUAAAAGCAUAUCUAUUUAGUCCUCGUCAAACAGGAUUAUUACUUUUGCUGCAGCUAACAUAAAGGAUAAUUGUCCUCUUUGCUGACUGAUGCAGGAUUUUACGACACUUUAUGUGUUGUUCAACUCGAUCUCAAAUCAAGUAAGACUACCCGCUGAACUUAAGCAUAUCAAUAAGCGGAGGA
rnacentral:misc_RNA from 1 species